rnacentral:tRNA from 1 species
GCCGGGGUGAUGAAACUGGUAGACAUUCCAGCCUUAGAAGCUGGCGCUCGCAAGGGCAUGCAGGUUCGAGUCCUGUCCCCGGCA